CAGCAGUGGAAAAACUCUAAUUAAAGUCACCAAAUAAUCAGGACGAGUAACCCGCCAUGACUUUGUACAAGGUCCGAUCUGUGUUCUGAUAGUGUAUUCCAUACACCGAGCCUGGCUUUGGAGAAACUCGCUAAAUUAACAUUGACAUUGACCUUUCCGUUGGUAAGAUGGAACUGGGCCAUGUGGUAUGCUCAUUCGUAUAUUAAUGUCCAAUCAAUUUCCUAUUUGUUUUUAAAUUUUUUAUUUUAAUUUAAACUUAUUUAAUUUUUGUGGUAGUGGGGAUGGGACAGAGAAGCUAGCACUUUAGGUCCCCAGCCCAAUUUUCAACUCUUGAUUCAAAACACUUGCUCUUCCUUCCAGUGAGAAAGUCUGAGCAGUGAACCUGCUGAUCUCUUCUUGCUUCCCCUCUGCUACUGAAUUCAUGAGGAGAGUUUCUGUCUUCCUCCUGCCCUCUGAUUCAUCAGAUUGGUUUACUGGGUUUUCUUCCCCAUCCUUCCCUAUAAUUUUUAUUUUUAUUUUUUUUCAGGCUAACCCUGGUACUUUUGAAUUCUUGACCUUAUUUUCUUUUGUUUUUCCAAAGGGUCUACUGCAUCAAUUAUUCUCACUUUUUCUUAAAUCUUCCAUUACUUUCCCUCCACGGGCUCCUUCCCCUCCUGGCUACAAAUACACCUAGAAUGCCUUUAUCUUAGGAGAAAAAUCUAUCCUACAAAAACUUCUGUGUCUCCCUCAACUGUUAUCAUUUCAAAACUCCUUCUAGCAAACACAUGGCUCAUCACUACGGUUUGAUUCAGCUUCGCUGCCCCCACCCCACCCUUUUUUGUGGAAAUUGCUCUGGGAAAGGUCAAGGGUGAUCAGCUCCUAAUUACCUGGCUUAUCCUUUAUCUGGCUUUUCCUUUAUCUUCCAUUUAAGAUUCCCUGGGAACCAUCCUCAGGCCAACUCUAAACAGUUUCACCCAAGCCUGAACUUCUAGCUAGAAUUUUUCUGUGUCUUCGGGUCUUCUGAAUUCCAGCUAUCCCAAACUGAACUCACUCUCCACAGAAGCUGGCUUGGGUCUUGGCAUGCAAGAGCCUCGCAGGCAGCAGAGGACAGCUCCAGGAGGUGGAGUUUCCAGACGAGAGAUGCGCGUUUCCCCUUUCCUCUAGAGAAUUCAAAAAUCGGACAGAGAUGAACUGGCACUUCCCAUCCAAAUUAUCUUCAAGCCACCACCAAUUCUGUAAUUAGAGAAGACAAAAGAAUGAAUUCCAACCCUGGGAUACAUAGAUGGGUUGGCCAGUUUUGCAAGAGGACCAGAAGGCCACGGACAGCCCAGCUUCUGGGCUAGUACAGAAUCACGAGGUGCAUUCAUGUUCUCUCUUUGUACCUUAAUCUAUUCUUGUUAUUUUCCUGCAAACUGAUAUUAGGAACACUCUGGAAAUUCUAACUCUGGAAUUUUGCUACAGAAGUAUUCUAAGUAUGCAGUGUCCUGAGUCUCAGCUUGUCUCCAUUAACCUCUUGUUGUAACAUUUAUUAUUCAAGUUACUUUAGUCCAGGUUCAUCAUCCCUUCUGGUAGAGACUGAAAAUUCAGACUUCACCCAAGAUUUUGGGAGGCAGAGACGGGGUGUGACCAGCCUCAUCAGAGAAGACCCCAAAGAGCAGACUCAUGGAUAGUUGUCUGGAGGGUCAGAGCCCUGGGGGUCCACUAAGCUCUUGGGAAAUUCAGAUAUUCCCAUCAGGCAAGUUAAGUCUUUAGCUAUUAUCUUUUUAGAUUAAAAAUUCACCUUGGUAGUGUGUUGAGAGCCACAGCCGAAGGGGCCUCAGCAAACUUCCAGCUGCCAGCAAACUUCCAGCUGCCAGCAAACUUCCAGCUGCCGGCUGAUGAUUGGCUCACAGCGGCCCCAGCAACAUCUAGCUGAUUGGCUCCUCUGUGGUGAUGCUCAGUUGAUAAACUUGGAAAAUUUUUUAUUAAUCUUUUGGGGAAGGGACUGGAAUGAUACAUAAGAAAACGAAUCUGGGUCAGUAAAGAGGGGAAAAAAAUAGAAGACAUUCAGGGACACAAAGACAAACUGUAUUGCACGGUUUUCCUAAGGUCACCACACCAAAUAUUCUGACCCCUCUUGUUUUGGUGGCCUAAGUAGCAAAGAGAGCAUCAGAGGAUAUAAGGUUUAUUGUUCACCUCAAGAGCAACAUUUUAUUUGAUUGGAUAAGACUAAUGCUUAACAUAAUUGAACAACUAAAAUCUUCACAUUCCCUUUGGCUUUGUGUACUAUCAGGUCCAAUAAUGUUUAAACGUAUAAAUAGCUAGUAUUCACAUUUGUCUUUCUCGUGGUUUUGUAUCAAAACCAGGGUCCACCUCCGGGUGGUCCACCUGGCCUGAGGUGGGUGUUGGAGUCCUUCUGAGGUGCAGGCUUUCCUGUCUCAAUGGGAAGGCAAUUCAAACUAGGAUAAAAUAUAGAAUGAUUGGAAACACGAUUCCUUUCUGUCUUUGAUAUUUUAUCCACAUCCAAAUUCGAAGAUUUAAGGACAUCCAUGGAAAACAGAUGUCUGACACAGGACAUUCAUAUUGUCCUGCGGGUGCUCAGCAGAGACUAGAGGGAGACACUUCCUUAUGGGAUACAGGCUCGUUCAAUUCUCCUGUGAUGUUUCUGUCCGGAUGCUUUCAGAUCCUUUGAACUCAAUGCUUUUAUCUUACAUUGACUCAGUCAAUGCAGAUGAGAAAGUCCCUUGAGGCAGUAAUGUCACCACAAAACUCUGUCCUCAGCUCUUACUGUUCUAAUUGGAUCUGUAAGGCCUUGGAAUUGACACAGCCCAAUCAAUAAUGACUACUUUUAAGCGAGGAACCCUUCUUGGAGACACUGCAGCAGUAUUUCAGAUUUACAGAUAUUUUCACAUUCAAUUAAGAAGAUGGAGACCAUUCAACCAUUGCUGGUCAGAGACCUAGAAUUCCUGUAACAAACUUUGGUCCAACUCCAUUUGGCUGCAGUAUUACUUUAUAAGAGGAAAUUUGGGCCUUGUCCCCUGUCUUGAUGCCCAAUGUUUGAAAUAUGCAAGGAACUGUGUGGUACAGAACAGGGUGUCCUUCCUGUGGGCUGGGAAGACGCUCUCCCUGCCCAAGCUGCCCUCUUCCAAUUUUGCUUCCAUCUGGGAAACAGUUGGCCAUCGAGGCCAUCCUUUGGAGUAGCUUAAGGAUUUCAUUGUGAAUGUAGAAAAUAAAGUGGAUUAUUAGAUACAAACUCUCACAACCAGCUAUGAACAGAUGAGCCUUUCCAGUCCCAGAUGGGGCAUUGGACCAGAUGUGGAGACUCUGGCAAAGAGCGCAGGGUCCACUUACACACCGGGGACUCAAUUGUUGUAAGCAUUUAAAAAUUGUUUUUAAUAAGGACUAAUAUAUAGAGAAUAAAGUGCACACGUAUUCAGUGUGUAUCUUGAUGGAUACCUCCCACCCCUCACACAAGUAUCUCGAAACACUCACUCCUGCUGUUAUGGUUUGGAUGUGAGGUGUCCCCUAAAAGCUCACAUGUGAGACAAUUUAAGAAGGUUUGGAGGAGAAAUGAUUGGGUUAUAGCCCUACCCUAAUCAGUGAAUUAGUGAUUAAUGAGUGGUAACUGGAUGCAGGUGGGGUGUGGCUGGAGGAAGUGAUUCAUGGGGGCAUGGCUGUGGGGUAUAUAACUUGUAUCUGGGAGUGGAAACCUCUUUCUCUGCUUUCUGAUCAUCUUGUGAACUGCUUUCCUCUGCCAUACUCUCUCGCCAUGAUGUUCUGCCUCAUCCGGACACGGAGCCCCUGGGGAGUGGAGCUGGCUGUCUAUGGACUGAGACCUCUGAAACCGUGAGCCCUUAAAUCAACUUUUACUCCUCUACAGUUGUUUUGGUCAGGUCUUUAAGUCACAGCCGUGAAAAAGCUGACUAAACCACCUGAUUUUCCCAGUAAGUACCUGCUAAAGUUCACCAGUAUUUCACACUCUUUUCACCAUAGAUUUGUUUGCCUGUUUUCUAAAAUUAUUUUGCAUUUUGCUUUUUUUUUUCUCUGAUUCAACUUUGUAUUUGUAAGAUUCAUCCAUGAUGCCAUGUAUGGUUUAUUUGCUCUUUCCUACUGCUGUUUAGUGUGUAUUCCAUUGUGUGACUACACCAUAGUGUGUUU
rnacentral:lncRNA from 1 species